rnacentral:rRNA from 1 species
GACGAACGCUGGCGGCGUGCCUAAUACAUGCAAGUCGAACGCAGUUGGGACGGGUGAGUAACACGUGGGUAACCUCCCAUCAGAGGGGAUAACACUUGGAAACAGGUGCUAAACCGAUACUGAUGGAUGGACCCGCGGUGCCUUAGCUAGUUGGUGAGGUAACGGCUCACCAAGGCCACGAUGCAUAGCCGACCGGAGAGGGUGAUCGGCCAACCGGGGACGGAGACACGGCCCAUAUUCCUACGGGAGGCAGCAGGAGGGAAUCUGCGGCAAUGGACGAAAGCCGGACCGAGCAACGCCGCGUGAGUGAAGAAGUUUUUCGGAUCGUAAACAUCUGUUGUUAGAGAAGCGGUAUCUAACCAGAAAGCCACGGCUAACUACGUGCCAGCAGCCGCGGUAAUAC